rnacentral:rRNA from 1 species
AUCUUUUAAAAGGGUAAUUUGGUUAAGGAAUUAAAUUUAUUUAAAGGCAUUUAAAUUAAUCAUUUGGUAAAUUAUAUAAAAAAAGGACGUGACGUUUCGAAAAUUAUAAUGAAAUUUAGAUUUGUGAUUUAUAAGUUUCCUAAUUAAAAAAUAAAAUUUUUAAAGUUUUUGUAAAGUGAAUCAUCUUAGUAACAAUAAAUUACAAAUCAACCGAAAAAUUAUAAGUAGCGGUGAGUGAACAUGAUAAUAUAUUACAUAACAGUAUAAAUAUUUAUUAAAUAUAUCAAAAAACUACUAAAGAAGGUUUAAGUCCUGUAAAUAUAUAAUAUAAAUCAAAAAUUAGUAAAGUAAAUAAAAUUGCGAGAAAAUAGGAGUUCCACCUUCUAAAUUUAAAAAAUAUAAUUUAAUCGAUAGUAAAUGAGUAUUGUGAAAAAAAUUUGAAAAAAUUUGAAAAAAUUUGAAAAAAUUUGAAUGUCAAUUUAGUUACUUGAAGUAAAAAUACAACAAGAUGCUUUUUGCAGAACGAGUCAGUAAGUUAAAUAUUAUAGCAAAAAAUAAUUAUUAUAUAAAAUUCAUGAAAAGUUAUAAUUAUUAGACCUGAAACCAAGUGAUCUAAUUAUAAAUAAGUUGAUUUUAAUGUAAUAAUUAAUUAAAGACUGAACUUUCAUAUGUAGCAAAAUAUAAAGAAAAUUUGUAAUUAGGAGUGAAAGGCUAAUCAAACUUGGUUAUAGCCGGUUUUUCACGAAAUGUAUUUAAGUACAGCAAUAUUAAUUUGUAAAUUGAUGUAAAGUAAAAAAUUUUUUCAAAAAAAUUUUUAACUUAAAAUUUAAUUUAUUUAAAAAAUAUUAGUGAGUCCAGAAGCGAAAAGGUUUUUAGACGAAAGGAAAACAAUCCAGAUCACUUGUUAAGGUAUUAAAUUAUAAUUAAAUUUAUAAGGUUUAUUAAAAUUUAAACAUUAGAAUAGGCUUAGAAGCAGUUUUUUAUUUGAGAAAGCGUUUUAGCUCAUUGUUUUUUUUUCCUAAACUAAAAAUUUCAGAUGGUAAAUUAUAAACCGAUGCAGUGAAUAUAAAUAAAUUAUAUGGUAGUGAAACGUUUUGUUGAGUAUUUAUAAUCUUAUAAUAAAAGAGUAAUCAAAAAACAAAAAUGCUAAUGCUGACAUGAGUAACGAAAAAUUAUGUAAAAAUCAUAAUCGUUUUAAAAAUAAUAGGUUUUCAAUGUAGGUUAGAAUUCAUUGAGUGAGUCGGUUCUUAAGAAAUUACUGAAUAGAAAAUUCGAUAGAGAAAAUGAUUACAAUGAUUUUCUAAUUGGGUAUUAUUAAAUAUCAUACAAAUUUAUUUAUAAUCUUAUAAAAUAUUAAAUCAAAAAAUAAGAAAAAAAUUAAUUUCAAGAAAAAAACAAUUUAAUAAACCGUACUAAAUCCGACACUGGUUUUUAAAAACGUAUGAGUAAAUUAUAUUAAAGGAAUUCAGCAAAUUAAUUCUGUAUGUUCGCUAAAAAGAAUGUCUAAAGAUUAUUUUAAUAAUCAAAGGAUAUCAUUACAAAAAAAGCAACGACUGGUUAUCAAAACCACAGGACUCUGCUAAUUAAAAUCUAAGCAGUAUUGAGUCUGAAGUCUGCCCAGUGCUUAAUAAUGAAAAUUUAUAGUUUAAAAAAAAUCUAUUAAAUAAGUUUAAGUAAACGGCGGUUCUAACUAUAAGAAUCCUCAGGUAGCGAAAUUCCUUGACGGGUAAAUUCCGUCCUGCAUGAAUGACUUAACGAUUGCUUUACUGUCUCUAAUAUAAACUCAGUGAAAUUACAAUAUUCAUGAAAAUGUGAAUUAUUUACAAUAAGACGGAAAGACCCUAGAUCCUUUACUUUUAUUUUAUAUUGUAAAAAAAAUUUAUAUAUUUAAGAAUAAAUGGGAGUUAAAAACUUUAUUGAAAUACCAUUUUAUUAAUUUUUUUAACUUAUUUUUUAACUAAAAAAAAGUAUAAAAGAGAAAGUUUACUUGGGAUGAGUACCUCCUAAAAAGUAACGGAGGUGAACAAAGGUAAAUUUAUUUAAUAGUUAUUUUGCUUGAUAAUAAAAUUAAUAAAUUAAAUUAGGACGUAAGUCAGUUAUAAUGACCCGAAUUUAUGAGUGGAAUUUAAAUUCGUUCAACAGAUAAAAGGAACUCUAGGGAUAACAGAUUCAUCAUGAUUUAAAGUUCUUAUUAAAAUCAUGGUUUGAUACCUCGAUGUCGACUCAUCUUAUCCUGAAAUUGUAAGUGGUUUCAAGGGUCUAGUUGUUCGCUAGUUAAAAAGGUACGUGAGUUGGGUUCAGAACGUCGUGAGACAGUUCGGUCCCUAUCUAUUGUAAAGAUAAAAAGAUAAAAAGAUUUAAUUUUAGUACGAGAGGACCAAAAUAUAUUAACCUAUGGUCAAUUGAUUAAAAUAAGAAUUGUUUUAUUGUCAAGUAGCUACGUUAGUUUAAUUUAAAUACUGAAAGCAUCAAAUGUAUAAAAAUAACUUUUUAAUUUUUUAGAAUAUUCUUUUAGAAAAAAAGAUAGAUCGAUCUAAUUUUAACUUUUAGUAAUAAAAAUAUUAUAGAUACGAAUUUAUCAAUAAUUUUUUAAUUAACUUAAUC